AUAGGAGGAGACGUCAUCGAUUUCAAUCCUCCCCGAUCUAAACCCGCGCCUCCUCCGCCGCCGAAACCCUAAUCCCCCCGCCUCCGCCGCCAUGGGGGCCGCCAUCCUGCCGCUCCCGGCGCCGGACGGCGACUCCCAGCCCCAGCCCCAGGCGCAGCCGCCUCCCCCUCCUCCUCCCGGCGCGAAGCCCGACCCCCCGCCCACGGUGGCCACCCACACCCGCACCAUCGGCAUCAUCCACCCUCCCCCCGACAUCAGGGUCAUCAUCGAGAAGACGGCCACCUUCGUCUCCAAGAACGGCCCGGAGUUCGAGCGCCGCAUCAUCUCGCACAACGCUGGCAACGCCAAGUUCAACUUCCUCCAGCCCUCCGACCCCUACCACGCCUACUACCAGCACCGCGUCUCCGAGCUCGCCGCCCAGCCCCCCGCCGCCGACGCCGCCGCCGCCGCCGGCGGCGGCCCCGAGCCCGACGAAUCCGGGGCGCCGGCACCCGCCGCCGACUCCGCCGAUGGCGCCGAGGCGAAGGAGGACCACUCUGCCCCCUUCCGUGUCCCGCCGCCCACCAAGGUGCUGGUGCCUCCCAAGGCGGAGCUGUACACGGUGCAUCUGCCCGAGGGGAUCACCGGGGAGGAGCUGGACAUCAUCAAGCUGACCGCGCAGUUCGUGGCGCGCAACGGGAAGAGCUUCCUGACGAGCCUCGCGCAGCGCGAGAACACCAACCCUCAGUUCCACUUCAUCCGUCCCACCCACAGCAUGUUCACGUUCUUCACCAAGCUCACGGACACUUACUCGAGGGUGCUGAAUCCGGUCGAGGGCAUGCCCGUGCUACUGAAGGAGCUACGAGAUGGGUCAAAGGACCUGACCACCGUGUUGGAGCGGUGCUUGAACCGCCUGGAGUGGGACAGGUCACAGGAGCAGGCGAGGCAGCAGGCCGAGGAUGAAAUCGAACAGGAGAGGAUGCAGAUGCAGAUGAUCGAUUGGCAUGACUUUGUUGUUGUCGAGACAAUUGAGUUUGCAGAUGAUGAGAGCGAGGGGCUUCCUGUGCCACUUACGCUGGAGGAGUUGAAGCGUCGGAAGAGGAUUGAGGACCUGGGAGAGGAGGAAGCAACCAUUGAAUUGGCUGAGCCAACGAAGGAUGUUGAGAUGGAUAUGGACGAGGAGGAGAUGCAACUUGUUGAGGAAGGAAUGCGCGCAGCGAGGCUCGAGGGAAAUGAAGGAGAUGCUCAAGUUAAGCUUGCUGGUGAUGAGGAGCCUCCUAUGAGAAUUGUCAAGAACUAUAAGAGGCCUGAGGAGAGAAUCCCUGCGGAGAGGGACCCAACAAAAUUCGUUGUCUCACCAAUAACUGGGGAGCUCAUUCCAAUUAGUGAGAUGGAGGAGCACAUGCGCAUCUCGCUUAUUGAUCCAAAAUAUAAGGAGCAGAAAGAGCGGAUGUUGGCAAAAAUCAAGGAGACAACACUUGCUCCUGAUGAUGAAAUCUCCAGGAACAUUGUGGGUCUUGCCCGUACCAGGCCAGAUAUCUUUGGAACAACAGAGGAAGAGGUCUCUAAUGCUGUUAAGGCAGAAAUUGAGAAGAAAAAGGAUGAACAGCCAAAGCAGGUUAUUUGGGAUGGCCAUUCUGGUAGCAUUGGUCGUACUGCCACACAGGCUCUGUCUAUGGGUGGCGAGGAACAUGUUGAUGCUUCGAAUGUUCCUGGUCCAGCUCCACUCCCCCGGCCUCCCAUGCCAUUGCUUAGACCUCCUCAACCCCUUCCUCUGGUUAAUGUUCCACGCUUUCAACCUAAUGCAAUGCCAUAUCCUGCCCCACAUCCACAACCUCAUCUCAUGCAAGGGGUUCCACAUAUGAUGUCUACCAUGCAUCCGCCACCACCACCGCCAAUACCAGGUCAGCCACAAAUGAUUAGGAUGCCAGGUUCAAUGGGUCAUAUGCCACCCAAUAUACCUCCGCCUCCACCAGGCCAAAAUCCCUUCAUGCCUGGCCCACCACGUCCAUACUCUAUGCCUCCACCGCCACACAUGCCAACCAUGGUCAACCCCAUUGGGAUUCCUCAGGGUCAACCACCUUUGCCUCCACAACCACCUGCUGAGGAGCAGCCUCCUCAACCUGAUGAACCAGAACCUAAAAGGCUGAGAACAGAUGAUGCUUCUCUUGUACCAGCAGAACAGUUCCUUGCCCAGCACCCGGGCCCUGCUCACAUAUCAGUGUCUGUACCCAACCUUGAUGAAGGAAACCUGCGAGGCCAAGUGUUGGAGAUCGAUGUCCAAUCACUCUCAGACACAGUUGGCAGUCUGAAGGAGCAGAUUGCUGGAGAGUUGCAGCUCCCUGCUAAUAAGCAGAAGUUGAGCGUGAGGACUAGUUUCCUCAAGGACAAUCUUACUCUUGCUUACUACAAUAUUGGCCCUGGAGUGGUGAUCAAUUUAACACUAAGGGAGCGUGGUGGGAGAAAGAAAUGAGCUUUCUUGUAUCGCACUGGCAGAUUUUUCUGUACUGCAUGGGUGAAGGCACUUCUUCAAGGGCUUAUUAUAAAGUUCCGAGUGCUGCUGAUGCAGAACAUGACAUGGAAAGAUAUGUUUUUGUUUUCUUGUAUGACAAUAGUUAUAUAUAUUUUUAUUCUUCAGAAAAAAAAGGUUACGAACAAUGGUUGAGCUGCUUUGUUCAUGCUUUCAGAAAUUCGGCAGGAGAGAGGGAUUCAGACAUUUGUUAAUAUGCUCUUGAUGUUGUUUCUUGUUCUGCUAUUUUUAGUUUGAACUCAUUAAGCUCAGCAGACUGUUGCUGCCUGUUCAUGUUCUGCCAUGUUGGUUUGCAUGAUCCUGCAAAUACAUAUUGUUUUUGGACAUUAUCACCGAACUUAUAUUACUUGAAAGUAUUGGUGGUGAAUUUGCACAUUUUGUGCAAUGAAAUUAAAGCAUGUUCUGUGCAUCAGAUAAAUAAUGAAGGGAAGUAGUUUUUUUUUGGGUGUACAUCAGGCUAGCUUGUAUGCUCUACCAUUUUCUUUUAGGAAACUUAUGUAUAUUCUCACCAGCUGUUUUUUUCUUAACAUUUUCUGGGACUUAUUGUUGAGAAUGUUUGAUAGCGGAGUAAACGGUGGGCAUGUAGGCAUUAUACUUGACCACGAUUCCUUUCCUUUAUUCACACUACUGGUGCAACUGGACCAACUCUGUCUCUAUAGGUCAAAUUCUUGACUGUUAGUCUCAGUCCAGGAGCGAGUAUUCUUGUUUGAAUUUUUUCCAGACA